rnacentral:rRNA from 1 species
GGCCUUUUGAGUAUAAUUUAAGGUCGGGCCUGCCCAAUGAUUAAUUAAAUGGCCGCGGUAUACUGACCGUGCAAAGGUAGCAUAAUCAUUAGUUUUUUAAUUGAAAGCUUGUAUGAAGGGUUUAAUGAGAAAAACACUGUCUCUGUUUAAAUUUAUUAGAAUUUUAUUUUUAAGUUAAAAAGCUUAAAUUUCUAUUGAAGACGAGAAGACCCUAUAGAGUUUAAUAUUUUACUUAAAAAUUAACUAUUAGGAAUUUAGAAUAUUUGUUAUUUAAAGUAUUUAAUUGGGGAGAUUGAAAAAUUGGUUUAACUUUUUUUGUAUUUUUACAUUAAUUAAUGAAUUUAAGAUCCUUUGUUUGAGAUUAAAAGAUACAAUUACCUUAGGGAUAACAGCGUAAUUUUUCUUAGAGUUCUUAUCGAAAGGAAAGAUUGCGACCUCGAUGUUGGAUUAAAAUUAAUUAUUGGUGUAGAAGCUAAUAAAUUAGGUCUGUUCGACCUUUAAAUUUUUACAUGAUCUGAGUUUAAACCGGCGUAAG